AAUAUAGGACAAUGGGGGCAACUCUUAUCCAGCCAUGCCGCGUUGGUGAAGAAGGUCUUCGGAUUGUACUGCACUUUAAGCUGGGAGGAAGGGCUUUAGGUUAAUACCCUGAAUUUCUGACGUUAGCAACAGAAUAAGCACCGGACAACUCCGUGCCAGCAGCCGCGGUAAUACAGAGGGUGCAAGCGUUAAUGGGAAUUACUGGGCGUAAAGCGCGCGUAGGUGGUUCAGUAAGAUGGGUGUGAAAUCCCCGGGCUUAACCUGGGAACUGCUUUCAUAACUGCUGAGCUAGAGUACGGUAGAGGGUAGUGGAAUUUCCUGGGUAGCGGUGAAAUGCGUAGAUAUAGGAAGGAGCACCAGUGGGGAAGGCGACUACCUGGACUGAUACUGACACUGAGGUGCGAAAGCGUGGGGAGCAAAC
rnacentral:rRNA from 1 species